GCACGUUGCCAGUGGAAAGAAACAAACCAGAAAGUAAAUUCUAAAUAGGUCGGCUUUGUAGAUGCUGAAAAUCGAGCUGGAAAGCAAAUUCCUCUCCCAUUGUGCGACAACUUUGUACAUUAUCGACUGCUUGCUUCACUUUUCCACUUUCAUCGAGUGAAAUUUCCUAAGGGAAAUUUGUGCGGUAUGUUUUCUAUUGAAAUAUUGGAACAGCGGUAUCAAGGGAAGAACAUUAAAGAAAGGACAUAGUCUAUGAAUAGUAAGGCUAUUUGUUGGUCUAAUCUUAGCAAAGUGUUUGGUGGACUGGCCAGCAGCAAUUGGUCUCUGAGGCCUCAAUUCUUCUGGCUCUGGAGGAGCUACAUGUACGUAGAUGUGCUUCUGCACUAAAGUUCCUCCAGAACUCACGCCAAUAGAUCCCCCAGUACUUCCCACCAAACCUCCGGCAUCAACAAUGGACGAUACUUGACCACUUUGUACUAAUAGAUGAAGCAAUUAAAUUAGUAUCGAACAUACAUAAAUUAAUUCGUAGUUAAAUACACUUUAUAUCUUGCUAUUGAUUAAAUACAGAAAUAGUGGUAAUGCCACUAUACUUUAUAUUAUUCGUAUCAAUAUAAUAUAUAUUGUUUAAAAUUUUGUAAUAAAUAACUUUUUUUAUAGCUAGAUCUUAAGAAAACAAUCCAGAUUAUGUUAUUUAUUCGGAAUUACUAAAUGUUUCUAAUUGAUAUCAAUAGUUUUUCCACAUUUCGUAAAAAAUAAUUAUUGCGUUAUGAGAUUUUUUUUUGCUUAUUCGAACUAAUAAGUGAAAAUGUAAACUCUGUUCAAUGCCAGCGCUACCAGCAAACUUUGCGUAUUAUAAAAUAAAUUCAUAGUGUUUUCAAAAAGUAUCCUAUACUACGUUGUUUCCACUUUUAGAAAAAUGGUGUCCCUUUUUUUCUUAAUUUCUAUACCUGCUGAACUUCCUCCAAAAACUCCAGAACCACCUGAUACAAAACCACCAUUAUUUGAUCCAAAAGUUGGGGCUGGAACUGGAUAAUUAUACUGGGGCUUAGCAUAGGCUACGCAGACCCAUAAUGUUGAAAUC